rnacentral:rRNA from 1 species
GACGAACGCUGGCGGCGUGCCUAAUACAUGCAAGUAGAACGCUGAAGAGAGGAGCUUGCUCUUCUUGGAUGAGUUGCGAACGGGUGAGUAACGCGUAGGUAACCUGCCUUGUAGCGGGGGAUAACUAUUGGAAGCGAUAGCUAAUACCGCAUAACAAUGGAUGACACAUGUCAUUUAUUUGAAAGGGGCAAUUGCUCCACUACAAGAUGGACCUGCGUUGUAUUAGCUAGUAGGUGAGGUAAUGGCUCACCUAGGCGACGAUACAUAGCCGACCUGAGAGGGUGAUCGGCCACAAUGGGACUGAGAAAAGGCCCAGACUCCCACGGGAGGGAGCAGUAGGGAAUCUUAGGCAAUGGGGGCAACCCUGACCGAGCAACGCCGCGUGAGUGAAGAAGGGUUUCGGAUCGUAAAGCUCUGUUGUAAGUCAAGAACGGGUGUGAGAGUGGAAAGUUCACACUGUGACGGUAGCUUACCAGAAAGGGACGGCUAACUACGUG